rnacentral:rRNA from 1 species
AGAGUUUGAUCAUGGCUCAGAUUGAACGCUGGCGGAAUGCUUUACACAUGCAAGUCGAACGGCAGCAUAGAGAGCUUGCUCUCUGAUGGCGAGUGGCGAACGGGUGAGUAAUAUAUCGGAACGUGCCUAGUAAUGGGGAAUAACUAGCUGAAAGGUUAGCUAAUGCCGCAUACGACCUACGGGUGAAAGCAGGGGAUCUUCGGACCUUGCGUUAUUAGAGCGGCCGAUAUCUGAUUAGCUUGUUGGUGGGGUAAUGGCCUACCAAGGCGACGAUCAGUAGCUGGUCUGAGAGGACGAUCAGCCACACUGGAACUGAGACACGGUCCAGACUCCUACGGGAGGCAGCAGUGGGGAAUUUUGGACAAUGGGGGCAACCCUGAUCCAGCCAUUCCGCGUGAGUGAAGAAGGCCUUCGGGUUGUAAAGCUCUUUCGCAAGAGAAGAAAACUUGCUAUCUAAUAA